rnacentral:sRNA from 1 species
UGCACUAUUUGAGAGCCAUUGGGAUUUUAACCGUUCCACAGAUUUUGUUGGCUGUAGCAAUGGUACGUCCCCCCACCCCCCGAUUGGAGACACCGGCAGGUCUCAAUUAUUCGGGCGCCCUGCACUGUCUAUCAACUGAAACCAUGGGGGCAAAAUAUAAGAAUUCGCUGUAAGCCGAGAUAAAGAUUUGUGGACAAACCCCGCAUCGAUAAAUUCCAUCGCUGCGCGCCGAUCCAGUCGUAAUGCACGAGCUCUUGCUACCAUUAACAGAACAAAGAAAGGCACUCUGUUUCGAAAUACAAUUCAUUCUUCAAUAAGCGCGCGCUCCUAAAUUUGGAUUUGGUGUUGGUGCUUACAGAUUUAUUGUUUCAAUUUACAAGACCCGGGAACUUGGGGUUGCAAUAAAUAUUCCGAUUUUCCACUGCGAUAUACUCCCGCCACAAGUCUCCCAUUGAUCGCAUCAAUGAUUAUUUUCUAUACGGAAGAAACGGUAUUAUUAUUGGUUGCUAAGAGCAAGGAGCAUUUUUAUCGUCCCGCUAAAGGUCAAACAAAUGUGUACAACAGCGCUUUCAUACUCAUGGUGAACAUUGGGCUGUCCAUCCCCCACCCCUUCUCUCCUGUAAUGUCCAGGUUAGGUUAGGGUCGCCGAAACAGAAUUGCUUCCGAGAUCUGCGACCUCCCACAACACCGCCUUGACAUUCACGCAUUAGAAUCUCAGCGACGAUCCCGUAGCCAAUGGGGACAACUUGUGGCGGCCGAAUCCACAACGUGCCCUGCAUAUUCUCAAGGGUAUUAUUCUGCCAAUAAUGAGGAACAACUCCCCCAUAAAGUUUUCACGGUUAGUAAUUAUUCGACAUGAGAGCAAAAUCGGAGCAUCAGAUAGUUAUAUAGUUACUCAGCCAAAAUACAGUCAGUGGGAUUUAGAAUCUGGCCAUAGAAUCCCCCUCCAACAGCAA